UGAAAUUGAAGUACCAGUGAAGAUGCUGGUUACCCGCGCCAGGACGGAAAGACCCCAUGGAGCUUUACUCCAGUUUGAUACUGGGAUUCGGUACUGCAUGUACAGGAUAGGUGGGAGACGAAGAAGGAUGGACGCCAGUCUGUCCGGAGUCGCUGUUGGGAUACCACCCCUGUAGUACUGGGUUUCUAACCAGUUACCAUGAUCUGGUAAUGGGACAAUGUCAGGCGGGGAGUUUGACUGGGGCGGUCGCCUCCGAAAGGGUAUCGGAGGCGCUCAAAGGUUCCCUCAGAAUGGUUGGAAACCAUUCGAAGAGUGCAAAGGCAGAAGGGAGCUUGACUGCGACACCGACGGGUGGAGCAGGUACGAAAGUAGGACUUAGUGAUCCGGUGGUAUAAAGUGGGAUUGCCAUCGCUCAACGGAUAAAAGCUACCCUGGGUAACAGGCUUAUCACUCCCAAGAGUUCACAUCGACGGAGUGGUUUGGCACCUCGAUGUCGGCUCAUCGCAUCCUGGGGCUGUAGUAGGUCCCAAGGGUUGGGCUGUUCGCCCAUUAAAGCGGUACGCGAGCUGGGUUCAGAACGUCGUGAGACAGUUCGGUCC
rnacentral:rRNA from 1 species